GUCCACCACAUCUCCACACGUGAGACUUGCCCGUAGAGACAGAUGCUUUCCCUACGCUAUCCCUACAGGAAUGCAGUUGUCUGUUUAAAUUGAUGGGAUUGGAGGGGUGUAUGUGGUGUGUCACAUUCUAAGUCAGUGACGUCCUGGUGUAGGAAAGUAGGAGUUACGUUGUCUAUAGUCUUCCCUACUGUCUUCUCUAGGUAUUUCUGUACACAAGGGAGUACACAACAAGUUAGAAACAGGAAGAUGAUAAUCAUUAUGAGAACUGUUGUC